AUUGGAUUAAUGAUGCUAAUUAGAAACUGCAUUAUCUGUCUGCAACUUCCUUAUUGGAAUUGAAGAUAUCUGUUAACGAAGUCUGAGAUUCUGU